rnacentral:pre_miRNA from 1 species
GAAAGUGAUUAUUGAAUUUAUUGCAUUAAAGUUAGGGAAAAGGAAAGAGAGCAGCUCUAUUUCCUUUUCCCCAACUUUAAUGCAAUAUAUUCAAUAAUCACUUUCU